UACGGAGGGAGCUAGCGUUGUUCGGAAUUACUGGGCGUAAAGCGCACGUAGGCGGCGAUUUAAGUCAGGGGUGAAAGCCCGGUGCUCAACACCGGAACUGCCUUUGAGACUGGAUUGCUUGAAUCACGGAGAGGUGGGUGGAAUUCCGAGUGUAGAGGUGAAAUUCGUAGAUAUUCGGAAGAACACCAGUGGCGAAGGCGGCCCACUGGACGUGUAUUGACGCUGAGGUGCGAAAGCGUGGGGGAGCAAACAGG
rnacentral:rRNA from 1 species